GGACGACGCUGGCGGCGUGCUUCAUACAUGCAAGUCGAACGAGAAGCUCACUUCGGUGAGUGGAAAGUGGCGGACGGGUGAGUAAUGUGUAGAGAAUCUGCCCUAGAGUGGGGGAUAGCAGUUGGAAACGACUAUUAAUACCCCAUAUGCGCGUAGCUGAGAUGCUAUUCGUGAAAACUCCGGUGCUCUAGGAUGAGUCUGCAUCUGAUUAGCUAGUUGGCGGUGUAAUGGACCACCGAGGCGACGAUCAGUAGCUGGUUUGAGAGGAUGAUCAGCCACAAUGGGACUGAGACACGGCCCAUACUCCUACGGGAGGCAGCAGUAGGGAAUUUUGCGCAAUGGGGGAAACCCUGACGCAGCAACGCCGCGUGAAUGAAGAAGCCCUUCGGGGUGUAAAGUUCUGUCAGUGGGGGCGAAACUUGACGGUACCCACAGAGGAAGCAUCGGCUAACUCCGUGCCAGCAGCCGC
rnacentral:rRNA from 1 species